rnacentral:rRNA from 1 species
UUUCCGGUUGAUCCCGCCGGACCUGACUGCUAUCGGAUUGAUACUAAGCCAUGCGAGUCUUUGCAGUAAUGCAAGGCAGACGGCUCAGUAACACGUAGUCAACUUACCCUAUGGACGAGGAUAAUCUCGGGAAACUGAGCAUAAUACUCGAUAGAUCAUAAUGCCUGGAAUGGUUUAUGAUUAAAAUGAUUCGUCGCCAUAGGAUGGGACUGCGGCCUAUCAGCUUGUUGGUGAGGUAAUGGCCCACCAAGGCGAUUACAGGUACGGGCUCUGAGAGGAGAAGCCCGGAGAUGGGUACUGAGACAAGGACCCAGGCCCUAUGGGGCGCAGCAGGCGAGAAAACUUUGCAAUGUGCGAAAGCACGACAAGGUUAAUCCGAGUGAUUUCUGCUAAAGAAAUCUUUUGCAAGUCAUAAAACCACUAGUGAAUAAGGGGUGGGCAAGUUCUGGUGUCAGCCGCCGCGGUAAAACCAGCACCUCAAGUGGUCAGGAGGAUUAUUGGGCCUAAAGCAUCCGUAGCCGGCUCUGUAAGUUUUCGGUUAAAUCCAUGUGCUCAACGCAUGGGCUGCCGAAAAUACUGCAUAGCUAGGGAGUGGGAGAGGUAGACGGUACUCAGUAGGAAGGGGUAAAAUCCUUUGAUCUAUUGAUGACCACCUGUGGCGAAGGCGGUCUACCAGAACACGUUCGACGGUGAGGGAUGAAAGCUGGGGGAGCAAACCGGAUUAGAUACCCGGGUAGUCCCAGCUGUAAACGAUGCAGACUCGAUGAUGCAUUGGCAUAUAGCCAGUGCAGUGUCGCAGGGAAGCCGUUAAGUCUGCCGCCUGGGAAGUACGUACGCAAGUAUGAAACUUAAAGGAAUUGGCGGGGGAGCACCACAAGGGGUGAAGCCUGCGGUUCAAUUGGAUUCAACGCCGGA